CGGCCCGCCGCCAUGUUGUUCCCUUGGUGCUGGACGUGAGGAGCCGGAGUUGGGCUGGAGCGGCGCUACGGCCUCGUGCCCGCGGGUGCCCGGCCUCGUCUCCUCUUUGCACCCAGCCGGGCCGGCCGGGAGCUCCCGGGCGUCCUGUGUGCGGCCGCGAGGAGAAAAGGCGAGUUCCUACACCCACACAACCCGAGAAGAGGGACACACACCCAAACACGCGAGGCCACGCGGAGAGACGCCCAAAGAUCUGGAAGACACACGGGGACACACGCACACACCCGGGGAGAGAGAGCUCCGUGAACGCCCUGGACGCGCGCAGACCCAAACACCCAGGGAGAGCGACACAAACUUCCUGCACUCCUAUUAUGAGCCUGGCACUGUGGUGAAAAGCUGUUCCCUCUUGUCCGUGACCAAGUGAAUCUGACCAAGUGAAUCUUCCCAACGGCCCUGGGAGGUAAUGAUGCUGCUUGAACUGAACAAUUAAGGUAACAUUUAUGACCUAUGUAAUAUGCUUUUCUUAUUCAGGUUUCUUUAUCAAAU
rnacentral:lncRNA from 1 species